ACUUUUGGAUGCCAGCUGCUGUAAAACCCAGAAGAAGAAGGAGAAGAACCUGAAGCGGGAGUAGGAGGAGGACAGCCGUAUCUCGGUCUGCCGUUAGUGUACAGUUAAAAACGAUUUCUGUCUCCAUGGCAACCCGCAGGGUAGUGCAGGUGUACCUGGACCUGCUGUCGCAGCCGUGCCGGGCGGUGCACAUCCUGCUGAACUGCAACAAGAUCCCGCACACCGUCCGAACCGUGGCUCUGAGGAAAGGAGAGAACAGGACCCCAGAAUUCACCAAGCUGAACCCCAUGAACAGAGUUCCUGUGAUGGAGGACAACGGCUUCGUUCUCACAGAGAGGUACACACACACACACAGUGACGCCAUCCUGAAGUACCUGGCAGCUAAGUACAAGGUCCUGGAGCACUGGUAUCCACGGCAACCAGAGAAACGAGCCAGAGUGGACGAAUACACAGCCUGGCAUCACAACAACACACGGCCACACGCUGCUAAAGUGUUCAUACUAGAGGUGCUUCUCCCAGCUCAGACCGGCUCCCCGGUGGACGAGGGGCGUUUGAUUCGCGCUCUGUCUCAGCUUGAUGAGACUCUAGACAAACUGGAGUCCAUGUUCCUCCGCAGACAGCCCUUUUUGUGCGGCGAUGACAUCACUGUGGCAGACCUGCUUGCGGUCUGUGAGGUCAUGCAGCCGAUGGGCGGGGACAGAGACAUCCUGAAGGAUCGUCCUCAGCUGCAGCGCUGGAGGAGCAGAGUUCAGUCUGCUGUUGGCGAGUCCUUCGACCAGGCGCACGCCGUCCUGUAUGCCCUGAGAGACCGCCGCAAAGCCAAGCUGUGACAUCACACAUGUGGGCGGAGCCAACAGACACCUGCUGCCUGACCGAGGGAGGAGCCAAUCACCAUCAAGAGAAACUGAGCUGAUGAACAGGUGUCUGAGUGUCUGCCCUACUGUUUAAUUAAAACAUAGAUCAAUAAUAUGACUGAUUAGUCACAAACAAACUAACUGUUUGGAAUCACUGAUGAUUUAUGUGUUUCAAUUCUGGUUACGCUCAGCGUGAGAAAUAAAAAAAGUCCUGACAGUGAAUUGUGCCUUAUGCUGAGAGACAGACGAGUGAGGGGCAGACAGGUGAGGGGCAGACGAGUGACUGACGUGUUUCUAAAUAAUCAUCAGUUUGUUUGUAAAUAUUUAAAAUCAUGUUUGUAAUGAAGAGAAUCAAAGUUA